UACGGAGGAUGCAAGCGUUAUCCGGAAUGGUUGGGCGUAAAGCGUCCGCAGGUGGCAAUGUAAGUCUGCUGUCAAAGCGUCUGGCUCAACCAGAUAAAGGCAGUGGAAACUACAUAGCUAGAGUAAGGUAGGGGUAGAGGGAAUUCCUGGUGUAGCGGUGAAAUGCGUAGAGAUCAGGAAGAACACCGGUGGCGAAGGCGGCUCUCUGGACUACAACUGACGCUGAGAUGCGAAAGCGUGGGGAGCAAACAGG
rnacentral:rRNA from 1 species